ensembl:lncRNA
AUGGGAGACCACCUUCCACUACCUGACAAGCAGCCAUGCAAUGUGGGCAAUACAGAAAAUUUGUUCAACAAGCUGGACAUAACACUAAGGAAUCGUGGCAUUCCCUGGAAAAAUCUGAUUGCGUUCAAUUCCGAUAACGCAUUUGUUCAACUGCCUCUUACACACAUUCUUUCUCUCUGUCUGCCUCUCUCUCUCUGUUUCUUUCUCACUCUGUCUCACAUUAAGCUAAAACACGUAGUAGCAAAUGAAAAUGUGUAAGUAAUGUUUACCUUGUUCAUAAAUAAAUCACUUUUAACAUAUCCAUUGGUCUGUCAUUCUUUAAUAUAUAUUGUGUAGUUAUAAACUCUUUAGACUGUUAAUGAUUAGUGCUUUUUUUAAAGUUUGUGGGUAAGAAUCGUGUAAAAAAAAUCCCUUAUUUUGGGGAUGGAUUCCGGGAAAUCUCCCUUAUUUUCAAUGUUCAAUGUUGACAGCUAUGGGCUAUAUCACGUGCUCUGACAGGCAGAAGCGGUUUCUGAUUCAAGAACGAACUGAUUCUUUUCAAUGAACCUUUUAAAUCGGUUCGCAAAUCGCACCAAACGAUUCAUUCACAAAUUAGAAUGAUCCGAUUGCAGCUGUUCUAGAGUCAACAACUCACUGAUUCAAUUGAACCGUUUAGUGCGAGUCUCCAGUGAACUCAAUUCACAAGUAAGAACCGGGAGAUCUUGUGAUCGCGCGCGCGACUGAUGCUGCUAAAAGUAAGUAACUAAUGUCGAAUUUUAGGAUUAUUUAUUGUAACUGAAAACCAUAUUUAGGUCAAAACUGUCAUUUGUUUGUGAACUAAAUCUGCUGUAAAGGGUGAUCUAUUUAAGCCCACUGAAAUGCUUGAAUGCAAACACAUCAGCAUCAGUGUCAAAAAAACAAACAAAAAAAAUAAUACAAAAAAUACAUUAAAACGAAGUAACCUUAAAAUAACACAUAUUAAAUAAAGUAACUAAUGCACGUUCAAAUUACCUGCUGCCAUAACAUUAACAGUUCUAUUAAAAUGCUACGCAUUUAGCCCUAUGUGACGUCUGUUUUUAUAUUGUUUAUCAACAGUAUAAAUUUUUAUUGUUUGAAUUAACUAGCUGAGUAGACAGAUAUGAAUGUUUAUUCAAAACCAUACUGAAAAUAAGUAAAUAUUGGUAGCUGAUGCUAACUGUCUAGCUAACAAGCUUGCUGAUGCUAAGUUGAGGUAAUUUUUAUUUUUAAUUUGGCCAGGGGUGUUUACACCACAGACAAGGUUUGAGAAGAUUAUGAAAAUAUAAUUAUUUUUUCCUUAAAAUGUAAAUGUAAUAAUUUCAGGCCUUAUUUUCAUGUCAUAUAUAACUGUCUUGUUCUGCAAAACAACACAUUUUAAAACACUUUUUCUCUUACUGGUGAAAAUCUGAUGGUCAAAUGUGACCCUGGAGCAAAAAAACUUAAGUCGCUGGGGUAUAUUUUGUAGCAAAAGCCAAAAUUACAUUGUAUGUGUCAAAAUGAUGAUUUUUUUCUCUUUUAUGGCAAAAAUUAUUAGGAUAUUAAGUAAAGAUCAUGUUCCAUAAAGAUAUUUUGUAAAUUUCCUAUCGUAAAUAUAUCAAAACUUAAUUUUUGAUUAGUAAUAUGCAUUGCUAAGAACUCCAUUUAGACAAAUUUAAAGGUGAUUUUCUCAAUGUUUUGAUUUUUUUUUUUUUUUUUGCACCCUUAGAUUCCAGAUUUUCAAAUAGUUGUAUCUCAGCCAAAUAUCAUCCUUUCCUAACAGCUUAUUUAUUCAGCUUGCGGAUGAUGCAUAAAUCUCAAUUUCGAAAAAUUGACCCUUAUGACUGGUUUUGUGGUCCAGGGUCACAAAUCUGUUUUCUCUCAGGUACAUCACAGUGUAAGCUUCACAGUGAGCAUUACUACAUCACUCUCGUCAGCGUAGUCCAUAUCAACAACAAAAAAUAUAUCUUGACUUCAUAUAGUGGUUAUUUUGAGAAAAUUCCAGGUAUUUUGAGCAGUAGGAUUAUAAAAAAAAAUAAAUAAAUAUGUGCUAAUAUAAAAUUAAUUUAAGUAGCCUAUAUAAAAUUGCAAAACAAAUCUAUCUAUCAGUGCUUUUUUACUUAAGUACAUAAAAAAUCGAUUCGAAAAAAAUCGAAAGUUAUCAAUUCGUCCACCACUGAUUUUCCACAAAUAGAGAAAACUUGGAACAGUGGUGAAUCUUCCCAGGAGUGGUCGGCCUCCCAAAAUUACUCCAUCCAGGAUGUCAUAAAAGAACCCAGAACAACAUCUAAAGAACUGCAGGCCUCACUUGUCUCAAUUAAGGUCAGUGUUCAUGAUUCAACAAUAAGAAAGAGACUGGGCAAAAACGGCAUCCAUGGGAAAAUUCCAAGGCAAAAGACAUUGCUGACCAAAAAGACACAAAGGUUUAUCUUUGAGAUGCUGUGGCAUGACCUUAAACAGUCCAUUCAUGCUCGAAAACCCUCCAAUGUGGCUGAAUAAAAACAAUUCUGCAAAGAAGAGUGGGACAAAAUUCCUCCUCAACAAUGUGAAAGACUCAUUGCCAGUUAUCGCAAAUGUCUGAUUGUAGUUGUUGCCAAGCGUGGCACAACCAGUUAUUAGAUUUGGGGGCAUUUACAUUUUCAUGCAGGGCCAAGCAGGUUUGGACCACUUUUUUCCUUUAAAAAUUAAAUUAUUAAUCCAAAACUGUAUUUUGCAUUUACUUGGGUUAUCUUUGUGUAAUAUAAAAAUUUGUUUGAUGAUCUGAAUCAUUCAAGCGUGACAAAUAUGCAAAAAAAAAAAAAAAAAAACACCGGAAGGGGCAAAAUUGUUUUCACAGCACUGUAUUAGUGGCCAAGACUGCUGCAUGCUUUUCAGUUGUGAUAUCACCUGUGGGAGUGAUGUAGAAACAUGCAGAAUGUGACAAUUGUGAUUUCUUAUUAAAGUGUGUAAAGUGAAUACAGUUGAUUGUUUGCUGAUCAAUGGCACAGUUUAACACAUUUAUACAGUAUUCAGCUGAUUUGUGUCACAGGUUUGUCAACUGUUUUGCAAUGUGGCUCAUCCAGUCUAAAUUUAAAUUUAGAAUAAUCCGUUUAAUAAUAUAGCCUUUUAUUUAAAAACUAGCCUCUUGUUUGUAUCGUGAAACUGCUUUUGACAUCAGACUUAUUCAUUUGUUAUGAAUAAUCCAUUUAAUAGUAAUAUUUUCAUAAAAACAGUUUGGAAUUUAAUUGUGAAGCUGUUUUUGCACUGAUGUCAAACUAAAUAAUUUGUUUUGAAUACUCUAUCAAAGGUACAAAUAAAAUGUGACAAUUAAAUAAAACAAAAUACCUUUAACUUGUAAACCAUUUAACUACACAGGAUAGUAUUUAA